GUGGGGAAUAUUGGGCAAUGGGGGAAACCCUGACCCAGCAACGCCGCGUGAAGGAAGAAGGUUUUCGGAUCGUAAACUUCUAUCCUUGGUGAAGAUAAUGACGGUAGCCAAGAAGGAAGCCCCGGCUAACUACGUGCCAGCAGCCGCGGUAAUACGUAGGGGGCAAGCGUUGUCCGGAAUGAUUGGGCGUAAAGGGCGCGUAGGCGGCCUGGUAAGUCUGGAGUGAAAGUCCUGCUUUUAAGGUGGGAAUUGCUUUGGAUACUGUCGGGCUUGAGUGCAGGAGAGAUAAGCGGAAUUCCCGGUGUAGCGGUGAAAUGCGUAGAGAUCGGGAGGAACACCAGUGGCGAAGGCGGCUUACUGGACUGUAACUGACGCUGAGGCGCGAAAGUGUGGGGAGCAAACAGGAUUAGAAACCCGUGUAGUCC
rnacentral:rRNA from 1 species